UUAAAAAGUUUUAUUUCUACUAUUGAAUCCGUAGGAUGAAGGAUUUAUUACCGAGAUUCAUCAUGUAACUGAAGAAGGAGAAGAUGCUGGUGUUGUGUACUGUGAAAUGCAGGGAAUAGAGAAUUCUGGAGAGAGGAGAGUACAUUUAGCAAUGAGAAAAGCAAUUUAUCCAGAAAACUGUGGAUAUAGUGCAGAAACAGGAGGUAAAAUGAAAAAUUUGCGGGAAUCUAUCACAAAUGCAAAAAUCAAGGCAUUCCAUAAAAACUUUUACCGACCAGAAAAUUUAAAAAUAAUAAUUGCUGGUAAAA